GACGAACCGUCCAAACGUUAUUCGGAAUCACUGGGCUUAAAGAGUGCGUAGGCGGCCCGGGAAGUUGGGUGUGAAAGCCCUCGGCUCAACCGAGGAAUUGCGCCCAAAACUGCCGGGCUAGAGGGAGACAUAGGUGAGCGGAACUUAGGGUGGAGCGGUGAAAUGCGUUGAGAUCCUAAGGAACACCAGUAGCGAAAGCGGCUCACUGGGUCUCUUCUGACGCUGAGUGCACGAAAGCUAGGGGAGCGAACGGG
rnacentral:rRNA from 1 species